CCUACGGGAGGCAGCAGUGAGGAAUAUUGGUCAAUGGCCGGAAGGCUGAACCAGCCAAGCCGCGUGAAGGACGAAGGUGCCAAGCAUUGUAAACUUCUUUUGUCAAGGGACAAAAUCAGGCUCGAGAGCCUGACCGAGGGUACUUGAAGAAAAAGCAUCGGCUAACUCCGUGCCAGCAGCCGCGGUAAUACGGAGGAUGCGAGCGUUAUCCGGAUUGAUUGGGUUUAAAGGGUGCGUAGGCGGGCUGUUAAGUCAGCGGUAAAAGCCCGGGGCUCAACCCCGGCGAGCCGUUGAGACUGGCUGUCUUGAGAUGUCGAGAGGUAUGCGGAAUGCGCAGUGUAGCGGUGAAAUGCUUAGAUAUUGCGAAGAACUCCGAUUGCGAAGGCAGCAUACCGGCGGCGAUCUGACGCUGAGGCACGAAAGCGUGGGUAUCGAACAGGAUUAGAUACCCGGGUAGUC
rnacentral:rRNA from 1 species